UAAGCGACUAAGCGUACACGGUGGAUGCCCUGGCAGUCAGAGGCGAUGAAGGGCGUGCUAAUCUGCGAUAAGCGCCGGUAAGGUGAUAUGAACCGUUAUAACCGGCGAUACCCGAAUGGGGAAACCCAGUGUGAUUCGUCACACUAUCAUUAACUGAAUCCAUAGGUUAAUGAGGCGAACCGGGGGAACUGAAACAUCUAAGUACCCCGAGGAAAAGAAAUCAACCGAGAUUCCCCCAGUAGCGGCGAGCGAACGGGGAGGAGCCCAGAGCCUGAAUCAGCAUGUGUGUUAGUGGAAGCGUCUGGAAAGGCGCGCGAUACAGGGUGACAGCCCCGUACACAAAAGCGCAUGUGCUGUGAGCUCGAUGAGUAGGGCGGGACACGUGGUAUCCUGUCUGAAUAUGGGGGGACCAUCCUCCAAGGCUAAAUACUCCUGACUGACCGAUAGUGAACCAGUACCGUGAGGGAAAGGCGAAAAGAACCCCGGCGAGGGGAGUGAAAAAGAACCUGAAACCGUGUACGUACAAGCAGUGGGAGCACCCUUUGGGUGUGACUGCGUACCUUUUGUAUAAUGGGUCAGCGACUUAUAUUCUGUAGCAAGGUUAACCGAAUAGGGGAGCCGGAGGGAAACCGAGUCUUAAUUGGGCGUUAAGUUGCAGGGUAUAGACCCGAAACCCGGUGAUCUAGCCAUGGGCAGGUUGAAGGUUGGGUAACACUAACUGGAGGACCGAACCGACUAAUGUUGAAAAAUUAGCGGAUGACCUGUGGCUGGGGGUGAAAGGCCAAUCAAACCGGGAGAUAGCUGGUUCUCCCCGAAAGCUAUUUAGGUAGCGCCUCGUGAAUUCAUCUCCGGGGGUAGAGCACUGUUUCGGCUAGGGGGCCAUCCCGGCUUACCAACCCGAUGCAAACUGCGAAUACCGGAGAAUGUUAUCACGGGAGACACACGGCGGGUGCUAACGUCCGUCGUGAAGAGGGAAACAACCCAGACCGCCAGCUAAGGUCCCAAAGUCAUGGUUAAGUGGGAAACGAUGUGGGAAGGCCCAGACAGCCAGGAUGUUGGCUUAGAAGCAGCCAUCAUUUAAAGAAAGCGUAAUAGCUCACUGGUCGAGUCGGCCUGCGCGGAAGAUGUAACGGGGCUAAACCAUGCACCGAAGCUGCGGCAGCGACACUGUGUGUUGUUGGGUAGGGGAGCGUUCUGUAAGCCUGCGAAGGUGGCCUGUGAGGGUUGCUGGAGGUAUCAGAAGUGCGAAUGCUGACAUAAGUAACGAUAAAGCGGGUGAAAAGCCCGCUCGCCGGAAGACCAAGGGUUCCUGUCCAACGUUAAUCGGGGCAGGGUGAGUCGACCCCUAAGGCGAGGCCGAAAGGCGUAGUCGAUGGGAAACGGGUUAAUAUUCCCGUACUUGGUGUUACUGCGAAGGGGGGACGGAGAAGGCUAUGUUGGCCGGGCGACGGUUGUCCCGGUUUAAGCGUGUAGGUGUGUGUUCCAGGUAAAUCCGGUUCACUUUAACACUGAGGCGUGACGACGAGGCACUACGGUGCUGAAGCAACAAAUGCCCUGCUUCCAGGAAAAGCCUCUAAGCAUCAGGUAACAUCAAAUCGUACCCCAAACCGACACAGGUGGUCAGGUAGAGAAUACCAAGGCGCUUGAGAGAACUCGGGUGAAGGAACUAGGCAAAAUGGUGCCGUAACUUCGGGAGAAGGCACGCUGACACGUAGGUGAAGUGAUUUACUCAUGGAGCUGAAGUCAGUCGAAGAUACCAGCUGGCUGCAACUGUUUAUUAAAAACACAGCACUGUGCAAACACGAAAGUGGACGUAUACGGUGUGACGCCUGCCCGGUGCCGGAAGGUUAAUUGAUGGGGUCAGCGCAAGCGAAGCUCCUGAUCGAAGCCCCGGUAAACGGCGGCCGUAACUAUAACGGUCCUAAGGUAGCGAAAUUCCUUGUCGGGUAAGUUCCGACCUGCACGAAUGGCGUAAUGAUGGCCAGGCUGUCUCCACCCGAGACUCAGUGAAAUUGAACUCGCUGUGAAGAUGCAGUGUACCCGCGGCAAGACGGAAAGACCCCGUGAACCUUUACUAUAGCUUGACACUGAACAUUGAGCCUUGAUGUGUAGGAUAGGUGGGAGGCUUUGAAGUGUGGACGCCAGUCUGCAUGGAGCCGACCUUGAAAUACCACCCUUUAAUGUUUGAUGUUCUAACGUGGACCCGUUACCCGGGUUGCGGACAGUGUCUGGUGGGUAGUUUGACUGGGGCGGUCUCCUCCUAAAGAGUAACGGAGGAGCACGAAGGUUGGCUAAUCCUGGUCGGACAUCAGGAGGUUAGUGCAAUGGCAUAAGCCAGCUUGACUGCGAGCGUGACGGCGCGAGCAGGUGCGAAAGCAGGUCAUAGUGAUCCGGUGGUUCUGAAUGGAAGGGCCAUCGCUCAACGGAUAAAAGGUACUCCGGGGAUAACAGGCUGAUACCGCCCAAGAGUUCAUAUCGACGGCGGUGUUUGGCACCUCGAUGUCGGCUCAUCACAUCCUGGGGCUGAAGUAGGUCCCAAGGGUAUGGCUGUUCGCCAUUUAAAGUGGUACGCGAGCUGGGUUUAGAACGUCGUGAGACAGUUCGGUCCCUAUCUGCCGUGGGCGCUGGAGAACUGAGGGGGGCUGCUCCUAGUACGAGAGGACCGGAGUGGACGCAUCACUGGUGUUCGGGUUGUCAUGCCAAUGGCACUGCCCGGUAGCUAAAUGCGGAAGAGAUAAGUGCUGAAAGCAUCUAAGCACGAAACUUGCCCCGAGAUGAGUUCUCCCUGAGACUUAGAGUCUCCUGAAGGAACGUUGAAGACGACGACGUUGAUAGGCCGGGUGUGUAAGCGCAGCGAUGCGUUGAGCUAACCGGUACUAAUGAACCGUGAGGCUUAACCU
rnacentral:rRNA from 1 species